rnacentral:misc_RNA from 1 species
GAAAUGCGAUAAGUAAUGUGAAUUGCAGAAUUCAGUGAAUCAUCGAAUCUUUGAACGCACAGUGCGCCCGCCAGUAUUCUGGCGGGCAUGCCUGUCCGAGCGUCAUUUCAACCAUCAAGCCCCCGGGCUUGUGUUGGGGACCUGCGGCUGCCCGCAGGCCCUGAAAACCAGUGGCGGGCUCGCUGUCACACCGAGCGUAGUAGCAAUCACCUCGCUCAGGGCGUGCUGCGGGUUCCGGCCGUUAAACAGCCUUACAAAACCCAAGGUUGACCUCGGAUCAGGUAGGAAGACCCGCUGAACUUAAGC